rfam:Myotis brandtii contig281317, whole genome shotgun sequence.
AGGGGUUCUCAGGUGAUGCACCCUGGAAUCGGGCUCCCACCUCUCUGGUUCCGGGUGCAUUACCCGAGAACCGCA